UAACACAUGCAAGUCGAGCGGAUGACGGGAGCUUGCUCCUUGAUUCAGCGGCGGACGGGUGAGUAAUGCCUAGGAAUCUGCCUGGUAGUGGGGGACAACGUUUCGAAAGGAACGCUAAUACCGCAUACGUCCUACGGGAGAAAGCAGGGGACCUUCGGGCCUUGCGCUAUCAGAUGAGCCUAGGUCGGAUUAGCUAGUUGGUGGGGUAAUGGCUCACCAAGGCGACGAUCCGUAACUGGUCUGAGAGGAUGAUCAGUCACACUGGAACUGAGACACGGUCCAGACUCCUACGGGAGGCAGCAGUGGGGAAUAUUGGACAAUGGGCGAAAGCCUGAUCCAGCCAUGCCGCGUGUG
rnacentral:rRNA from 1 species